rnacentral:rRNA from 1 species
AUGGCACAUAAUAGAGCCCCCGUCCUAGAUAAUAUACAUGUUUAAUUCUAUCAGGUGUGCUGGGACAUAGUUAAGGAUGAUAUUAUGAGGCUUUUUGAGAAUUUUCAUAAAGGGGCUUUGGAUGUGCAACGCCUCAACUAUGGGGUGAUUACACUUUUGCCAAAAACUGCUGGCGCAGAUAAAAUCCAGCAAUUUAGACCUAUAAGCCUCCUGAGAUGCUCGUACAAGCUUAUCACUAAAACUUUAGAUCGGCGUGUGGAGAGGUACGCUGACAAGCUAAUUAGUUCGACCCAGAAUGCAUUUGUGAAGGGGAGAAGCAUUAUGGACGGGGUGCUAUCGCUGCAUGAGAUUUUAAAAUAUACACAUGUGAAAAAGAGGGUGGGGAUUGUCCUGAAACUGGACUUUCAAAUGGCCUACAAUAAAGUGAACUGGGACUUUCUGUUAGAAUGUCACAAGCUUCGAGGCUUUAGUGACACUUGGUGUGGUUGGAUUAAGCAAAUCUUGCACAAUGGGACAGUGAGUAUCAAACUCAAUAACAAAGUUGGCCCAUAUUCUCAGAGUGCCAAAGGUGUUCGACAAGGGGAUCCCCACUCCCCUUUCCUUUUCAACCUGCCUGCUGAUUGUCUUCCGAAAAUGAUCACUAAUGCUCAAAAAAUAAUAUGCUGGUAG